CACAGAGAGCUUGCUCUCGGGUGACGAGUGGCGGACGGGUGAGUAAUGUCUGGGAAACUGCCUGAUGGAGGGGGAUAACUACUGGAAACGGUGGCUAAUACCGCAUAACGUCGCAAGACCAAAGAGGGGGACCUUCGGGCCUCUUGCCAUCAGAUGUGCCCAGAUGGGAUUAGCUUGUUGGUGAGGUAACGGCUCACCAAGGCGACGAUCCCUAGCUGGUCUGAGAGGAUGACCAGCCACACUGGAACUGAGACACGGUCCAGACUCCUACGGGAGGCAGCAGUGGGGAAUAUUGCACAAUGGGCGCAAGCCUGAUGCAGCCAUGCCGCGUGUAUGAAGAAGGCCUUCGGGUUGUAAAGUACUUUCAGCGGGGAGGAAGGUGUUGUGGUUAAUAACCGCAGCAAUUGACGUUACCCGCAGAAGAAGCACCGGCUAACUCCGUGCCAGCAGCCGCGGUAAUACGGAGGGUGCAAGCGUUAAUCGGAAUUACUGGGCGUAAAGCGCACGCAGGCGGUCUGUCAAGUCGGAUGUGAAAUCCCCGGGCUCAACCUGGGAACUGCAUUCGAAACUGGCAGGCUUGAGUCUUGUAGAGGGGGGUAGAAUUCCAGGUGUAGCGGUGAAAUGCGUAGAGAUCUGGAGGAAUACCGGUGGCGAAGGCGGCCCCCUGGACAAAGACUGACGCUCAGGUGCGAAAGCGUGGGGAGCAAACAGGAUUAGAUACCCUGGUAGUCCACGCCGUAAACGAUGUCUACUUGGAGGUUGUGCCCUUGAGGCGUGGCUUCCGGAGCUAACGCGUUAAGUAGACCGCCUGGGGAGUACGGCCGCAAGGUUAAAACUCAAAUGAAUUGACGGGGGCCCGCACAAGCGGUGGAGCAUGUGGUUUAAUUCGAUGCAACGCGAAGAACCUUACCUGGUCUUGACAUCCACAGAACUUUCCAGAGAUGGAUUGGUGCCUUCGGGAACUGUGAGACAGGUGCUGCAUGGCUGUCGUCAGCUCGUGUUGUGAAAUGUUGGGUUAAGUCCCGCAACGAGCGCAACCCUUAUCCUUUGUUGCCAGCGGUCCGGCCGGGAACUCAAAGGAGACUGCCAGUGAUAAACUGGAGGAAGGUGGGGAUGACGUCAAGUCAUCAUGGCCCUUACGACCAGGGCUACACACGUGCUACAAUGGCGCAUACAAAGAGAAGCGACCUCGCGAGAGCAAGCGGACCUCAUAAAGUGCGUCGUAGUCCGGAUUGGAGUCUGCAACUCGACUCCAUGAAGUCGGAAUCGCUAGUAAUCGUGGAUCAGAAUGCCACGGUGAAUACGUUCCCGGGCCUUGUACACACCGCCCGUCACACCAUGGGAGUGGGUUGCAAAAGAAGUAGGUAGCUUAACCUUCGGGAGGGCGCUUACCACUUUGUGAUUCAUGACUGGGGUGAAGUCGUAACAAGGUAACCGUAGGGGAACCUGC
rnacentral:rRNA from 1 species